CAUCGCUGAUGAAUUAUUCACUUGCAAGUGAAUAAUUCGACCUCAUUGAAUCCGUAUUCAUGUGACCUUCAAUUGAACCCAUUAGCUAGAGAUUAGUUACGCAUGUAUUAGUCGUGUUCAGCCAUUAAAAGAAAAAGAAUGUCACAUUGAAAGUGAAACAAAGGUGAACCAUUUCGUUAACUGAUUCGAUCCACCAAAAAUCAUUCUUAUACAGAUAUAACCAAACAGUGCAGAUAUACCGAGACCAAGAACUUAAAGUUAUGCAACCUGCUAAUGGAUCGGCGCAAGCUCAGCCACCACCAUACGACGCUGACGAAAACUUUGGUUAUGUCCAUCAGCAACAACAUGCAGUGAUUAUAGUGCCUGAAAACCAAUCAGAACUCGUCACAGUGAAGGAAGACAAUGGAUGUUUACCAGAUACAGAUGACUGGGAAUGGUAUCAUUGGCUGCUAGCUAUUCUAUUUGGAUUGAUUGUCAUUCCCAUACUAGUUGCUUGUUGCAUAUUUUUCGGAAUUUGUAUUUACUGGGUACCAGAGAAAAAUUAGAGGCAGAAUAACAGUUUGUUCCAACACAGAGUUUCUGGACAAACGUUUACCUGUAACAGAUAUAGUGAAUAAUUCAUAAACAUAAUAGUUACCAUGUAAAGAAUACUUAAUGUUUAUCGAUUGUUUGAUGGUUUUGGGUUAAAUCUUACACGUUGAUAUACUUAUUGCUGUCGGUUGGCAACACUUUUAAAUUAGUGAGAUUCUGUAACUGCUAUGUUAACUAAUAUGUUAUUUUUCACGACGUCAAACUUUGACAUAUCGGGAAAAGAUGCAUUUUUGACUGAUUUUUAUCAUUCAGACUGAUUUAACUUGAAAACGAGUUCAUGUACCCCUCUUUUUAAAAAUUAGAUUUGGCUUGAUUUUGUAUGAAGAUUCUUUGUGCCAAUUUUUAUGAACAAAUCACCGAUGAUUUUUUUUUUAAAUCAGAAAAGAAUGCAGCAAAAAAUGCCGUUAUUUGACUAAAAUCAUGAAAGUGUGACAAAAAUGAAUAAUUUCCAAAGAAUUGUUUCACAAAUUCAAAGCGCACAUAUGUAGACAAGAUAUUCCAGAUGCUUUUACAAAAAAACGCUUGAGUUUAUCUUUUGAAACAAAAAGUAAGUAUGUCUUUCCAAAGGAUAGGAAUGUCCAAGAAACUGAAAUUUGCAGUAAAUGUCUGAAAUUUUGACCCCAUUUAUUUAUAAAAGUAGCAUAUGAAGGUAUAUUUUUUAUUACAUAUUUGAAUUGACUAGGUGAAAAAUAGCUUGUACGCAAACUUUCGUCAAAAGUUCACCGUGGGAUCAAAACUGUAUCGUAUGCCCUUAAGAAAAAUCUAUGGGUUGGUAGUUGGAGAUUUAUUGAUUUUAAGACAAAUAUAAGAACUUUUUUCGCCGAUUUUAUGUGCUUUCUAUACGAAAGAUCACCAUUCUUUCUGAAAAUAUUCAUUUAGUAAUAUUUCAGAAGAUAAAAGAGAUAAAUGUAAUAUUUUUUCGACUGUUAGUUAAAAUUCAAAGUGUAAAGUUUUUAGCACAUCUUCAACUAAACACAACUAUUUUGGAUUCUGUUUAAUGAGCGUUUAUUUAAUUAUCAAACCAGAAAAUAAUUCCCAAACCCAUCUAAUUCGAUUGCGCUGCUUUAUACAGGUAGAAAGUACAUCACUGCUGACAUCGAACAUGCAUGUAAGUUAUGAUUGCUCGAACAUAUACCUCAACAUAAUAAUAAGCAAUAGUAACAAGUAAACCAUAUUUAUAAAAUAAAUAUAAAGGACGGAAAAUCUAAAUAAUCCAUAACAGUAUCACAGCACAUGUAAGACAGGACGGAAGUAAAGUCAGCAUUAGUUCUUGCAAAGUUAACAAUGAAUAUAUCACAACUGCUUUCUGUUAUAUACUGUAUAGACAUUCAGGUUAUCUAAAGGAAAAACAGAUGAAGAAAUCUUGUUAACUAACUUUUUGAUAUAUUUACAAAGAGCAAAUAGUCUAAAACAAAACAAAAAACGAUUUUUCCUCAUGCCGAUUUUUAAAACUUCGGAAUAUAUUGAAUUGUCGUAUCUCCGAUUAGUAACGAUUAUCAAGUUUUCUGCAAAUUGAAAACUGAAAUAUCAGAAGUACGCCACAAUAUGAAGCUGUUAAUGGAGUAAGCGAAGGCUUUAUAUUCCGUUGGGAAGCUGAUAGUUUAAAACGGAUCUUUACGAGUUUGACCAUAAACUGUGAUGCAUAAAAAUACAGGAUCAAGUCUGCUAUUAAUGGGCACAAAUAGUUCCCAAAUACAUCUUGUCGAUACACGUCAUUGCCAAAACGUACAUAAAUGAUGUCAAGGAGAAUUCACAGCUUUAUCAUCACAGUUCCAGCAUUUAUAUCUAUCAUUUUUACCUUUUAUCCUUUAUAUGAGUUGAAGAUGAUUGAUUCACUAUUAGAUCAAAGACCAUUUGAUUAAAUAAGAAAACAUCUGUUUGAUAAGAUUUUGUAGAAGUGAAGUACCAAAAAGGUCAUAACUGUAUUUCGAAUUCAAAGGACCACCAAAUGCAGACAAUUUAUCCAAAUUAUCCUACCAAUUGUUUGCACUCCGAAAUGAUUAAUUUCAUAUUUUCAUAUCAUUAAAUUAUUUUGUACGUUGAAUUUGUCGAAUGAGCACGUUUACAGAGAUUUUCAAAAAAAGCUAGACAGAAUUGCUUAUGGAUAGCCUCUUGUUAGAAUAUAUAAUUCUUAAGUCUAUGUAAAAAUAAGGAUAAUUUCUCACGUUUCGAUUUUAUAGGGAGAAAAUUUUGUAUUAACGAUACUAUUGAAAAGCUUUAUAACGUUACUAGGUACAUGUUUAAGCCACAUGACUAAUUUUGUAGCGGGAAUUUUUUCCCCAGUGUCUGUCACUUUCUUGCCCACCGCAUGCAGUGCAAUAUUCGAGUUCUAUUUGAUAAAAUGAAUAUACAAAAAAAUGUAUUAUAAUACAUGUUUUAUAUGUUUCAAAACUUUACACGUCCCAGUAAUCAUGUUGAGACAACAUGUUGACACAGGAUUCCAGUUUAUCCCACAAUUGGGUGAUUGGUUAUUCCUUGGCCGAAAAAAAAGUCGUCCGUGAUCGAGUAAUUCAGUUAUUUAGUAAUUUACAACACGACGGCUGCCACAUGUGCAGGAGGAUCCGCUUACCCUUCCGGAACACCAGAUAUCACCCCCAGUUUUGGGUGGGGUUCGUGUUGCUCAGUCUUUAGUUUUCUGUGUUGUGUUUUGUGUACCAUUGUUUGACUGUUGGUCUUUUUCUUUUUUAGGCAUGGCGUUGUCAGUUUAUUUUCGACUUAUGAGUUUGAAUGUCCCUUUGGUAUCUUUCGCCUCUCUUUUACAAGUAUUCAGUUUACAUUCAUUUCAAUCAUAAUUUAUUUUUGUCUGUAUUAGGUGUUUACAUGUGUCCAGCUAAAUUGUUCCUUUAUUCAUGAUUUUGAAAGUUUAGAUACUAGUAUAGGUGAUUAAUGUUUUUUCGUUGAUCAUAUAUAUAUAUAUGUUUUCUGUUUGGUAAUAAAUUAAUAAUAAGAUCUAUUUUGUUUCAUCUUGUGAUCCGUUUAUUUAGCAGUCGCCAAUGGCAGUCAGCAGGGUUUAAGAACAUCAGUUGUUCGAUCUGCUAGUCAAAUGCGUUUUGUUAAAAUAUACUUUUUCACUCAUUUGAUCUUUUGGAAAAUGUUGUUUGUGCUGUAUUUAGACCCCUCUACCAACAAAUUUGUUUUGCAUGCACACGUAUAAAAAUUGCGUUGUUUUCAAUUUAGACUUGAAUAUAUAUAUAUAUAACUUAGCUAAUCUGCCUAAUAUAUCAUGUACUGUGUUACAAUCUAGAUUCUACUGACGAGGAAAGGUAACACUAGGCCACCGAAAGCUGAAUUUUUAGUUCAGUCUAGGUGGCCGAGUGGUCUAGAGCGCUGGACACAGUGCAGGCGGUGUUGUCUCGAUAUCACAAUAGCAUGCGUUCGAAUCCCGGCGAGGGAAGAAAAAAAAAUUGCUUUCGCAAAUUUGCAGAUUUAACAUUGUUGUGCUGAUAUUUAGAGUAAUUAUGAAUAUAUAUAUAUAAUUUAUAAAUUAUGAAUUAAUUAGCGUGUUUACGUUAUAUUCUUAGACAUUUAUAUAAUUUAUAAAUAUAUGUAAACAGCUAAUACAUUUUGUUGUCCACUAUGCUUGCUGGGCUAUCGGCUAUAAUAUAUAUAUUGUAUUUAUGCAUGUCUUCAUAUAGAAAAAUGAAUAUGAGUGUUUAGGGUAUAUUUUAUAGUACAUUUGUUAUCCCUCUUCUAUACUAUAUUAUUCUAUACAAAAUGUCACUGGUCGUAAAGCAAGCAACAAUCGAUCAAUCAGUCUUAUAAUUAGAUUUACCAUCAAAACAACUUUCGCUUCAAUAAACAAGUUCAAUAACUUCCACAGGAUUUCCGAUUGUUUACAGUAACCAAAAUUAUAAUAAGUCAACUUUAUUUUGUCUUUUGAUUGUUCGUAAUGUGUGGUUGUCCAUCGUUAAGAUUGCAUUCGACUAUAACCUCAUUUUAAAAGGUCAUUAAUCAAAGGUAAAUUUGAUGAUAAGGUCAUCUCAAUAGUAAAUUUGAUUAACAAAUUAUUGAAUCUUCCUACGUUUUGGUCCUAAUAUUUAUCAUUGUCAUGUUUAAUUUCUUAAUUUUAUUAAUUACCCGGUAAGAUGUGGAUUUCGGUUUGACACAAUUCACUUUGCCAAAUGUUAAUGGGACAUUGGUAAUGUUUACGUUUGUAUGAUACACCUAGUAACUGAAGACUGAUUGAUCUCAAAAACUUUCAAUGGUUUAAAAGUUUAAUCGAGCUUAUAUUAUGUCCUUGUUUCUAUAUUAUGCCGACUCUAAAUAAAGCUUAUUUAUUUAUUCAACAUACUCAAUUGAUCAAGCAAGACAUUUCAACCGUGUGUUCUGUUAUUUUUUUUGCCUCAUGUUUACAGUAUUGAAACAACUUGUGUUGCCAGUUAGACGAACAGAGAAUAAUGUUUAGAGUCACUCUUACGCAAUGCCAAAUUUCAAUUUUGAAAAAUGUUUAAUUCACUCUACGACAGAAAAUCAGAAUGCAAACGCUAAAAAAAAGCACAAAUUUGAUACGACUGAAUACCAAAGCUGAAUAUAAUACUUCACAUAGGAGUCGCAUUGGCUGUCAUCAACUUGAACAUUUAUAUUCCUAUCAGUUUUGUUUUGUUUUUCAAUUAUAUAUAUUCUUAUUUAAUCAAUAUCUUUUUAUAUUGCUGUUAAAAAAAGUAAAAUUGUUGAAACUUUUA